UAGGGAAUAUUGGUCAAUGGGGGCAACCCUGAACCAGCCAUGCCGCGUGCGGGAAGAAGGCGUUCUGCGUUGUAAACCGCUUUUAUACAGGAAGAAAAUGCUAUGCGUAGUACUAUGACGGUACUGUAUGAAUAAGCACCGGCUAACUCCGUGCCAGCAGCCGCGGUAAUACGGAGGGUGCGAGCGUUGUCCGGAAUUAUUGGGUUUAAAGGGUGCGUAGGCGGUCUUUUAAGUCAGAGGUGAAAUCCCACAGCUCAACUGUGGAACUGCCUUUGAUACUGGAAGACUUGAGUAUAGUAGAGGUAGGCGGAAUUGAAGGUGUAGCGGUGAAAUGCAUAGAUAUCUUCAAG
rnacentral:rRNA from 1 species